GGCUCGGUGGUGUAGUUGGUUAUCACGUCAGUCUAACAUUCGAUUAGCACACUGAAGGUCCCGAGUUCAAACCUCGGCUGAGUCA